rnacentral:rRNA from 1 species
GAUGAACGCUGGCGGCGUGCCUAAUACAUGCAAGUCGAGCGAACAGACGAGGAGCUUGCUCCUCUGACGUUAGCGGCGGACGGGUGAGUAACACGUGGAUAACCUACCUAUAAGACUGGGAUAACUUCGGGAAACCGGAGCUAAUACCGGAUAAUAUAUUGAACCGCAUGGUUCAAUAGUGAAAGACGGUUUUGCUGUCACUUAUAGAUGGAUCCGCGCCGCAUUAGCUAGUUGGUAAGGUAACGGCUUACCAAGGCAACGAUGCGUAGCCGACCUGAGAGGGUGAUCGGCCACACUGGGACUGAGACACGGUCCAGACUCCUACGGGAGGCAGCAGUAGGGAAUCUUCCGCAAUGGGCGAAAGCCUGACGGAGCAACGCCGCGUGAGUGAUGAAGGUCUUCGGAUCGUAAAACUCUGUUAUUAGGGAAGAACAAAUGUGUAAGUAACUAUGCACGUCUUGACGGUACCUAAUCAGAAAGUCACGGCUAACUACGUG